rnacentral:rRNA from 1 species
AUUGAACGCUGGCGGCAGGCCUAACACAUGCAAGUCGAACGAGUGGCGGACGGGUGAGUAAUGUCUGGGAAACUGCCUGAUGGAGGGGGAUAACUACUGGAAACGGUAGCUAAUACCGCAUACCAUCAGAUGUGCCCAGAUGGGUUUAGCUAGUUGGUGGGGUAAAGGCUCACCAAGGCGACGAUCACUAGCUGGGCUGAGAGGCUGACCAGCCACACUGUAACGGAGACACUGUCCAGACUCCUCCGGGAGGCAGCAGUGGGGAAUAUUGCACAAUGGGCGCAAGCCUGAUGCAGACAUGCGGCGUGUAUGAAGAAGGCCUUCGGGUUGUAAAGUACUUUCAGCGGGGAGGCGUUACCCGCAGAAGAAGCACCGGCUAACUCCGUGCCAGCAGCCGCGGUAAUUC